rnacentral:rRNA from 1 species
AGAGAUUUAAAGAUUUAUCGGUGAUGGAUGGGGAUGCGUCUGAUUAGCUUGUUGGCGGGGUAACGGCCCACCAAGGCGACGAUCAGUAGGGGUUCUGAGAGGAAGGUCCCCCACAUUGGAACUGAGACACGGUCCAAACUCCUACGGGAGGCAGCAGUGAGGAAUAUUGGUCAAUGGGCGAGAGCCUGAACCAGCCAAGUAGCGUGCAGGAUGACGGCCCUAUGGGUUGUAAACUGCUUUUAUAAGGGAAUAAAGUGAGCCUCGUGAGGCUUUUUGCAUGUACCUUAUGAAUAAGGACCGGCUAAUUCCGUGCCAGCAGCCGCGGUAAUACGGAAGGUCCGGGCGUUAUCCGGAUUUAUUGGGUUUAAAGGGAGCGUAGGCCGGAGAUUAAGCGUGUUGUGAAAUGUAGAUGCUCAACAUCUGCACUGCAGCGCGAACUGGUUUCCUUGAGUACGCACAAAGUGGGCGGAAUUCGUGGUGUAGCGGUGAAAUGCUUAGAUAUCACGAAGAACUCCGAUUGCGAAGGCAGCUCACUGGAGCGCAACUGACGCUGAAGCUCGAAAGUGCGGGUAUCGAACAGGAUUAGAUACCCUGGUAGUCCGCACGGUAAACGAUGGAUGCCCGCUGUUGGUCUGAAUAGGUCAGCGGCCAAGCGAAAGCAUUAAGCAUCCCACCUGGGGAGUA